rnacentral:misc_RNA from 1 species
GAUGAAGAACGUAGUGAAAUGCGAUAAGUAAUGUGAAUUGCAGAAUUCAGUGAAUCAUCGAAUCUUUGAACGCACAUUGCGCCCGUCAGUAUUCUGGCGGGCAUGCCUGUUCGAGCGUCAUUACGCCCCUCAAGUCCCCUGUGGACUUGGUGUUGGGGAUCGGCGAGGCUGGUUUUCCAGCACAGCCGUCCCUUAAAUUAAUUGGCGGUCUCGCCGUGGCCCUCCUCUGCGCAGUAGUAAAACACUCGCAACAGGAGCCCGGCGCGGUCCACUGCCGUAAAACCCCCCAACUUUUUAUAGUUGACCUCGGAUCAGGUAGGACUACCCGCUGAACUUAAGCAUAUCAAUAAGCGGAGGA